rnacentral:lncRNA from 1 species
CUGACAAAGCUGAAAAAUUGCUGCUGCUGUUUAAAUUACUGUAACAAAUUUUAAAUCUUUCCCAUCCAGGUAGCAAAGAAGGGAUUGACAUUGGCACUGAUGGGAAGGAGAGACUGCCGUGGUUUGCCCAAAAAUGAGACAGAACGUUUUCUUUCCUCCUGACGGAUAUGCAUUGGAAACAGGCAAAAGCUGAGAUUGGGAAGGUGAUGAGAGAAACAAUACAACCAGAACCCCGUCUCCACAAUCUGAAGUAAAGAAGAAAUCUUACAUCAUGGAUAAACUCAUUUUUCUGCUGAUGAUGGAUGAAGGAUCACAUAAAGGCGGAGUCAGGAGUCCCGGAAAGCUCCUGCUGGGAGAGACCAGGGCUGGAGGGACCGGUGAUUUGACAGCCCCGCGUUUCUUAUGCUCUUAGGCUCGUUGGAUCCUACAAAUCCUUACUUACCAAGCAAUCUUCUCCCAUGUAAGUAGCUUUGAGCACUCAGGAAAUACAGGAAUCUUUAUCUGA